rnacentral:rRNA from 1 species
AUGCUGCAGCACCUCGAUCUGAAGGACGAGGAGCUGGAUGACAUGGUCGUAGGCGAGGAUGAGUUGAGGAAAUUUGAGGCAGAGGCACGUUGGAUGGCAGUCGGAAAGCUGAAUACGACCCACCGUUUUAGUUCCACUACAAUGUUUGAGACUCUGAAAUCGAUCUGGGGGCCAGCACAUGUGCCGAAGUUCAGAGAGGCCGGCGAUAAGCCAUUCGUGUUCCAGAUGUUCUGCUUGGGAGAUUGGAAGAAGGUCGUUCAUGGUGGCACAUGUCUGUCCAAGGGGAUGGGCCUCCUGAUCGAGAACUACGAUGGCAAGACAGACCCGGAAUCGGUGGUCUUUGAUGGUCUGUACGUUUUGGCUCAAAUACACAACAUCCCUGAUCUAUACCGCAAAACAGAAAUUGUGGAUCAACUUGCUCGCCGUAUUGGCAGAGUAAAGGAGGUCUUACUCUCUCCAAAGCUUUACUAUGAGGGUGACUAUGUCAGAGUUCGUGCAAGGGUGCUGGUUAAUAAGCCCCUUACCAGAGUGAUGCCAUUGAAUGUCACGGGAGAGGGGCGUCGUUCCUCCCAGUCAAAUAUGAGAAGAUCCCUUACUUUUGCCAGGCAGUUUGGAAGCUGGAUACUGGCCCAGCGCAAGGAAUCACCCCUAAACAACAGUAGUUUGGUCAUUCUGCUCGAGGGGGCUGGUCCCGGGGCCGAGGUAGAGCUGUUCGUGGCAGAGUUCCACCAAGGGAACAGGAAGCCCCACGCAAGAGGUCAUCACAGGAUGCUGGCUUUAAUGAGGGAGAGGAUAUUGAUGCAGAUGUGA